AGGCUUAACACAUGCAAGUCGAGCGGGGAUGAGGUGCUUGCUCCUUAUCUUAGCGGCGGACGGGUGAGUAAUGCUUAGGAAUCUGCCAUUUAGUGGGGGACAACAUUCCGAAAGGAAUGCUAAUACCGCAUACGUCCUACGGGAGAAAGCAGGGGAUCUUCGGACCUUGCGCUAAAUGAUGAGCCUAAGUCGGAUUAGCUAGUUGGUGGGGUAAAGGCCUACCAAGGCGACGAUCUGUAGCGGGUCUGAGAGGAUGAUCCGCCACACUGGGACUGAGACACGGCCCAGACUCCUACGGGAGGCAGCAGUGGGGAAUAUUGGACAAUGGGCGGAAGCCUGAUCCAGCCAUGCCGCGUGUGUGAAGAAGGCCUUUUGGUUGUAAAGCACUUUAAGCGAGGAGGAGGCUACUAGUACUAAUACUACUGGAUAGUGGACGUUACUCGCAGAAUAAGCACCGGCUAACUCUGUGCCAGCAGCCGCGGUAAUACAGAGGGUGCGAGCGUUAAUCGGAUUUACUGGGCGUAAAGCGUGCGUAGGCGGCUUUUUAAGUCGGAUGUGAAAUCCCCGAGCUUAACUUGGGAAUUGCAUUCGAUACUGGGAAGCUAGAGUAUGGGAGAGGAUGGUAGAAUUCCAGGUGUAGCGGUGAAAUGCGUAGAGAUCUGGAGG
rnacentral:rRNA from 1 species